rnacentral:rRNA from 1 species
UACGUAGGGAGCAAGCGUUGUCCGGAAUCAUUGGGCGUAAAGCGCGCGUAGGUGGCCUCAUAAGUCCGCUGUGAAAGUCAAAGGCUCAACCUUUGAAAGCCGGUGGAUACUGUGAGGCUAGAGUACGGAAGAGGCGAGUGGAAUUCCUGGUGUAGCGGUGGAAUGCGCAGAUAUCAGGAGGAACACCAAUAGCGAAGGCAGCUCGCUGGGACGUUACUGACACUGAGGCGCGAAAGCGUGGGAGCAAACAGG